rnacentral:rRNA from 1 species
UACGGAGGGUGCAAGCGUUGUCCGGAUUUAUUGGGUUUAAAGGGUGCGUAGGCGGCCCGUUAAGUCAGUGGUGAAAGCCUCCAGCUCAACUGGAGAACUGCCAUUGAUACUGGCGGGCUUGAGUACAGACGAGGUUGGCGGAAUUGAUUGUGUAGCGGUGAAAUGCAUAGAUAUCUGGAGGAAUACCGGUGGCGAAGGCGGCAUCCUGGACCG